AGCUGAAGGUGUGUGGCCACAUUAUUCCAUGUCUCUGAACUUCGCUUUCCUCCAAGGAUGUCUUACAGAUUUAAAGAGAAGAGAAUCUAUUACAAGCCAAACAUCAAUCUCUGAAUCUAAAAUUUAGGACUGCACUUUAUGGAAAUUGAGCCUGUAUUGUUCUUCUGAACACCAGCCAAGAAUCUCCACACUGCAGAACAACCCAGGGGCUGAUCUGGUUUGCAAGAAUUCUUCCUCCUUAGAUGCCUGAGUGAGUAGGCACACAUACGUUUUUGUCCCUCUAUUUGUCCCUCUUAC
rnacentral:lncRNA from 1 species